rnacentral:rRNA from 1 species
UACGUAGGAGGCGAGCGUUGUCCGGAUUCACUGGGCGUAAAGGGCGCGUAGGCGGCGGCUUGAGUCCCUGCGUGAAAUCUCCCGGCUCAACCGGGAGGGUGCGCGGGAUACUGGGCGGCUUGAGGACAUCAGAGGAGAGCGGAAUCCCCGGUGUAGUGGUGAAAUGCGUAGAUAUCGGGGGGAACACCAGUGGCGAAGGCGACUACCUGGCCUGUUCUUGACGCUGAGGCGCGAAAGCUAGGGGAGCAAACGGG